CGAAGGGAGGAGACGACCUGCGGCUCCGACGACAAGAAGCUGGAGCUGGACGAGAAAUUUAAAUCUCUAUUAUUCAAAUCCAAUAUGUACCAGGUACUCGGAUGAUAUAUAAAAUAUUAAAUCGAGCUAAUGUCUUUUAAAGAAAAUGUAUUAAUUGUCAAAACUGUCAUCAGUUUUGUUUAAACUGAGCAGCUGAAAUUUACAGAAAAUAAAACGACUGUUGACAAACAGAAACCAAUAAGAACUCAGCGCUGCUCCUCGGUAGUGAUUAACUGAUUAGACUCAGUACAUUUACACCAUCAUGAUAAACAGAAGAAGCAGCAGAAUUGAACCGGAUACACACAGAUCAGUCCAGCCCCAACUCUGCAGGUGAAACUGACGGAGGUUUCACACUGAACAAGACACAGAAGACACAGCGGGACAGGAACUCACCAGCAGCUGAAGACAGACGUUUGACCGGUCACAGCAGAUUACCCAGCAUCCCUCACUGCCAGACAAUUAGAGACUUUCUGAUCACUUCCCCGUUGACACGAGCUGCCGGCGGCUGCAGGGCUGAGACAUCUUUGACUUCUUGUAGCGUCAGUGAGACGAGAACAACAACGUUUGCUUUUUUGUUGCAGAAUAAACCGAUGUUUGGGAAA